UAGAAAGAAGCACAUAAAACCCUGGGC
rnacentral:piRNA from 1 species